GGAGAGGUGGCUGAGUGGUUUAAAGCGACUGAUUGCUAAUCCGUUAUAUAUGUAUUUAUAUCGAGGGUUCGAAUCCCUCUCUCUCUA
rnacentral:tRNA from 1 species